UAGGGAAUCUUCCACAAUGGACGCAAGUCUGAUGGAGCAACGCCGCGUGAGUGAAGAAGGUUUUCGGAUCGUAAAGCUCUGUUGUUGGUGAAGAAGGAUAGAGGCAGUAACUGGUCUUUAUUUGACGGUAAUCAACCAGAAAGUCACGGCUAACUACGUGCCAGCAGCCGCGGUAAUACGUAGGUGGCAAGCGUUGUCCGGAUUUAUUGGGCGUAAAGCGAGCGCAGGCGGAAUGAUAAGUCUGAUGUGAAAGCCCACGGCUCAACCGUGGAACUGCGUCGGAAACUGUCAUUCUUGAGUGCAGAAGAGGAGAGUGGAAUUCCAUGUGUAGCGGUGGAAUGCGUAGAUAUAUGGAAGAACACCAGUGGCGAAGGCGGCUCUCUGGUCUGCAACUGACGCUGAGGCUCGAAAGCAUGGGUAGCGAACAGG
rnacentral:rRNA from 1 species